rnacentral:ncRNA from 1 species
AGUACCAUCGGUAUCGCCUUGCAGGAGGAGGUACCAAGUCAUCUAUGAGGUGCUGUGUUCAAAAGGCAUGGUACUGAGCAUCAUAGAAAAGCCGUAAC